rnacentral:rRNA from 1 species
CCUACGGGAGGCAGCAGUGGGGAAUUUUGGACAAUGGGCGCAAGCCUGAUCCAGCUAUUCCGCGUGUGGGAAGACGGCCUUCGGGUUGUAAACCACUUUUGUAGAGAACGAAAAGUCUAUUGAUAAUACCGAUAGAUGAUGACGGUACUCUAAGAAUAAGCACCGGCUAACUACGUGCCAGCAGCCGCGGUAAUACGUAGGGUGCGAGCGUUAAUCGGAAUUACUGGGCGUAAAGGGUGUGCAGGCGGUUUUGUAAGAUGGAUGUGAAAGCCCCGGGCUUAACCUGGGAAAGCCAUACAUGACUGCAAGACUAGAGUGCGUCAGAGGGGGGUGGAAUUCCAAGUGUAGCAGUGAAAUGCGUAGAUAUUUGGAAGAACACCGAUGGCGAAGGCAGUCCCCUGGGACGCAACUGACGCUCAUACACGAAAGCGUGGGGAGCAAACAGGAUUAGAUACCCGUGUAGUC